CGUCAGUUGGCAUCUCUGGACCACAGCUGACCCACCCGUGAAAGGGCAUAACGACAAUAUUUUCUUCUAAAGGCCGUGCAGUGAUUAAGGGUCGUCAUAGGGGCUGUGAAGGCGCUCACAUUCUGGCAGCUCAAAAUUAGUUCUACAAACCGCAUCUACACGAGCGCGGCGAUUUCUGAGAAGGAUGGCAAUGCCUCCAUCCCCCACCUGGCCUCCUGUGGGAAAAACAGCGACACCCCCUCUGUCGCCGAAUCUCCUGUUGUCACCUUUGAAAGUUGCUGCUGUAAAACCGCCAUCAAACUGAAAAGCAACUGUGUAACGUGAAGAGACGGCAAGAAGAAAAUUCAAAUAAAAGACUAAAUCAGUAAAGAGAGA
rnacentral:lncRNA from 1 species